CAGGGAGACAACAAAAUGUUUAAUAUUAUUAUUUUGUCACUUAGGUCGAUCGGUAUCUCACGUUUUUAAUUUAUUAAGAAUUUCAUUUCCUAAGUUUUUCUAGGUCACACCCAUUAUUUUCCUGGGCCAUUAGCUCAGGUGGUUAGAGCGCACCCCUGAUAAGGGUGAGGUCCCUGGUUCAAGUCCAGGAUGGCCCAUAUCUCUAUGUUGGGGGUAUAGCUCAGUUGGUAGAGCGCCUGCUUUGCAAGCAGGAUGUCAGCGGUUCGAGUCCGCUUACCUCCACUGAUUACCACCUCUUCCAUAACCGGUAGAAAGGAAAUGUUUUGAGUUGUGAUCAAAUUCUGAAAGAAUCUAGCUUCCUAAUGAAAUCAUUAAGAUGCUGGACUCAUUGAAUUAAUUUCAUUGUUUUCAGAGAACCUUGACAACUGCAUAGAUUAUUUUUAAAGACAAUAAGCAUCUUUAAUGAUGCAGAUUUAUUAUUUGUGCGAAUGCAUUAAUAACAAUUCUAUUAAGCUGAUACUUCAA
rnacentral:tRNA from 1 species